rnacentral:tRNA from 1 species
AAGGAAUUAGUUUAAAAAAAAUAGCUGACUUCGAACCAGCCAAUUUAGGUUUAAUCCUAAAUUCCUAA